GACGAACGCUGGCGGCGUGCUUAACACAUGCAAGUCGAGCGGUAAGGCCCUUUCGGGGGUACACGAGCGGCGAACGGGUGAGUAACACGUGGGUGACCUGCCCUUAGCUCUGGGAUAAGCCUGGGAAACUGGGUCUAAUACCGGAUAUGACUCCAUGACGCAUGUUGUGGGGUGGAAAGCCUUGUGCGGCUAGGGAUGGGCCCGCGGCCUAUCAGCUUGUUGGUGGGGUGAUGGCCUACCAAGGCGACGACGGGUAGCCGGCCUGAGAGGGCGACCGGCCACACUGGGACUGAGACACGGCCCAGACUCCUACGGGAGGCAGCAGUGGGGAAUCUUGCGCAAUGGGCGAAAGCCUGACGCAGCGACGCCGCGUGAGGAUGACGGCCU
rnacentral:rRNA from 1 species